UAGCAUGGCCGAGAGGGCCAUCCGCGUGCGAGGGAGAGAGUGAUCGAGAGAGAGCUUGCGAAUGAGAGUGAGAGAAAGCUUAAUGGUGGAACACGGCCAUGGCGGUAGCAACCUCACGUUGCAGUUGCAGUGGCCGAGAGCAGCGAUAGUAAUGGAGCGAGAUCGCGAGGGAGAGAUGGCCGGUUGGAAGCUGCCUGAAGCGACGAGCUUCGGCCAGGAGCAAGGGCGGCGAUGAGGGAAGCCGCUGUGGUCAGCAAUGGCAGUGCUGGUAGCAGCAGCCAGCAGCGAAGACGCCAUGGAGGUUGGGCGAAGCUGGAGCAGCUGAGAAGUCCGAUGGUGGUUGCGCGAGCAAUAGCGGUCGUGGCUGGAAGCUGCAAGGAGGAUAGCUAUGGCGGCUGUAGCGUCGGGCGGUGCUCGAGAGGCAGGGAAGGCAGCCGAAGGCGACGGCGGGUGGCUGGUGUGCAGGUCAACCACGAGAGGAAGAAGAAGGGCCGCGCGCGGGAAGGAAGGAGCAGGGGAGAAAGAAGGGAAAAAAAAUAGAAAAGAAAAGAAAAAAACAGAAGAAAAAGAAAAUGAAAGGAAAAGGGGAAAAAAAUAGGAGAAAAUCCCAGAAAAUUUCAAAAAAAGUGGGGAAAGUUCAGAAAAUUAAAUUGGGGCUUGAAGAGCGUGUCGGAAGCGCGAAAAUGGGAUUUUAGGCAAACGACAGCCCGUGAGGCAACGCCGGUGUGGGCGUUUUUCGAAUUUCUCUCCAUAUGAGUCGAAGUUCGACUGGGAAGGCUGUGAUCCUAGAGGAACUUGAGGUGCAGGUUGGAGUUCGUGCCGAGGCAGAGAUAAGGCUUCUAGCCAGAUGAUGCAAGUCCAGAUGCAAGCAGGGAUGGCGCCGGGAGGUUGUUGCGGCAACUAGCUGUAUUGCCCGAGUUGUGUAAUUUAUUAUCUCUUGUACGUAGCCAUGUGGUGUUAUGUAUGUAUACCCUCGUGAGUAAAUGUAUGUGUUGUUGAGCGUUAAAUGUAUUUAAUUGUUGUAAUCAUCAUAGUGUGAAAGAUGAUUGUGAGAUUGCUUGUUGCAUGUGGCUUGAGUUGUUGAAGCCAAGUUCGGAUCGAGUAAGGACCAACGAGGUAUGUUCUCAUAAAUCCCCAAUACUCAACAAUGUGUUGUUAUGCUAGCCUUGUGCCUGGGUCACCCCUGGCUUGCUAUGGGACGAGCUGAAGAGAGGUGAAGCUCACUCGGGUUUCAGGUCUUGGUCCACUGGGUUUUUUUUCUUGUUUGAGUUGAGACCGAUUCCCGAGUGGAGCGAAGGGAAGGAUGAAGCCUAGUUCCCACCUAGGGCGUUUCCUGUUGAAACAUAGUCUAACCCUUCAAUUGUGGUUCGUCGGGUGAGUAAUCCGGUCGAUUAUUUACCGGUGGCGCCCGUAAGUGGGAGCGGGUCGUUACACCUAAGUUCAAGCCUAGUAAUCUGUGCAGAAAAUGCCAGAAGCAACACCCCAGAAAGUCGUGCCGGCUAGGAACGAAAGGUUGCUACAAUUACAGAAAGGAAUGACAUAUCAAUCUAAACUACCCCAAGAAAGGAAUCACCUGUUUUAACUGCCAGCAGACAGGACAUUUUGCAAGGGACUGCCCCAAGCCGCGGCAGAUGAGUCAACCUCAGGGGUCAUCAGGAAAUGCUAGGGUACAGGAGGGAAAGGUAUUUCAUCUGACUUGGCAAGAUAUGGUAGAAGACCCGGCCCUAAUCGAAGGUACCAUGUUUAUAUCUGGUAUUCCUAUGCAUGUUUUGAUAGAUUUAGGAGCAAGUCAUUCAUUCAUUUCGUAUGCAUUUGCUAAAGUACUAGGAGAAAAAUCAGAAAACUUAAACUGUCAUAUGAUCAUAGCAACCCCAAUUGGGAAGUGUCUAGAAACCUGCUCAGGAUAUAAAAAUAGAAAAAUUCAGAUAGGAGAAAUUGAGUUCCUAGUGGAUUUAAUCCUUUAGGAAUUUCAAGAUUCUGACGUGAUUCUAGGAAUGGAUUUCUUAACCAAAUACAAUGCCCCUCACCAAGUUAACCCAUAAGAGGGUGAAGUUCGAUUGGAAUAAGCGGUGCGAAGAAAGUUUUUAGAUGCUUAAAGAUAAACACACGACCACUCCAAUAUUGGCUAUGCCAAAUAAAUCAGGAGGAUUUAUGGUGUAUACCGACACCUCAAGAAAUGGUUUGGGAUGUGUACUGAUGCAACACGGUAAGGUCAUUGCCUAUGGGUCCCGAAAGCUUAAGAACCAUGAGCGGAAUUACCCGACCCAUGAUUUGGAGUUGGCAGCAAUGGUGUUUGCCUUAAAGGUUUGGAGGCACUAUUUAUAUGGCGAGAAGUUUGAAAUUUUUACUGAUCACAAGAGCCUACAAUACGUAUUCUUGUAGAAAGAAUUAAACACGAGGCAACGGAGAUGGAUGAAGAUGUUAAAAGAUUACGACUGCAUUAUCCAAUACCAUCCAGGUAAAGCUAACGUUGUGGCUGAUACCCUAAACAAAAAAGAAACCACUUAUGUGGCUGGAAUGAUGGUAUCUGAGUGGAAGCUAGUGGAAGCUUUUAGUCUAAUUACAGUGGGAGUAGUUUCCCGAGGUAACUCUGCUUACGCAGCUAGUCUCACUCUGCAACCAGAAUUAAUGGAUCAAAUAUGGUAGGCUUAGUCAGAAGAUUCCCGAAUUAAGUCAUGGAUUGAUGAGUAUGAACGAGUAAAGAGACCGAAAUUCGAGGUAAGAGAAAACAUUCUUCGGUUACAAUGAAGGAUAUACGUGCCUCGCGUGAAGGAAUUAUAACAAGUAAUUUUGGGAGAAGCCCACCGAUCCAGAUACUCGAUACACCCUGGUGCCACUAAGAUGUACAAAGAUUUGAAGGCUGUGUAUUAGUGGCCCGGAAUGAAGAAAAGUGUGGCGAGGUACAUUAGUCAAUGUGAUACAUGCCAUAGUGUGAUACCCCAUGUGUAGAUAAGGUUGACACGAAAUUUCGAUGAGUUUAGAAUACCGAAAAAUUGGUUUGAUAGCAGUUAUUAGUACCGAAUCGACUGGAGGGAAUGCCUCAGAGUGAAAUUAUCUAAGGAAAAUUAUAUAGUCUCGACGAGCGUAUCGAGAUAGGAUUUAUGGUAUCGAAAGAAAUCGAAUCGGGAACAGUUUUCGGUACAUCUAAAAUACAACCGCCAUUUAGGCUGUAAAAUUGAAUUAUUGUAGGAGACUCCCGAAAAACCAAUGGAACCUUAGGGGG